rnacentral:rRNA from 1 species
AGCGAACGCUGGCGGCAGGCCUAACACAUGCAAGUCGAACGGAUCCUUCGGGAUUAGUGGCGGACGGGUGAGUAACUCGUGGGAACGUGCCCUUUGGUUCGGAACAACUCAGGGAAACUUGAGCUAAUACCGGAUGUGCCCUUCGGGGGAAAGAUUUAUCGCCGGAAGAGGGGCCGGCGUCUGAUUAGGUAGUUGGUGAGGUAACGGCUCACCAAGCCUUCGAUCAGUAGCUGUCUGAGAGGAUGAUCAGCCACACUGGGACUUAGACACGGGCCAGAAUCCUACNNNNNGCGGCAGUGNNGANUAUUGGCCAAUGGGCGCAAGACUGAUCCAGCGAGGCCGCGUGAGUGAUGAAGUCCUCCGGGUUGUAAAGCUCUUUUGCCNGNGACGAUGAUGACGGUAGCAGGAGAAUAAGCCCCGGCUAACUUCGUGCCAGCCGCCGCGGUAAGA